rnacentral:rRNA from 1 species
UAGUGGCGAACGGGUGAGUAACACGUGAGUAACCUGCCUUACACAAGGGGAUAGCCUCUGGAAACGGAGAAUAAUACCCUAUAAAGUCUAAUCAGCACAUGCUGGAAAGACCAAAGAUUUAUCGGUGUAAGAUGGACUUGCGUCUGAUUAGCUAGUUGGUGAGAUAAAAGCUCACCAAGGCGACGAUCAGUAGCCGGCUUGAGAGAGUGUACGGCCACAUUGGGACUGAGACACGGCCCAAACUCCUACGGGAGGCAGCAGUGGGGAAUUUUGCACAAUGGGGGAAACCCUGAUGCAGCGACGCCGCGUGAUUUAGAAGGCCUUCGGGUUGUAAAAAUCUUUUUUACGGGAUGAAAAUGACAGUACCGUAAGAAUAAGGUCCGGCUAAAUACGUGCCAGCAGCCGCGGUAAUACGUAUGGACCGAGCGUUGUCCGGAAUCAUUGGGCGUAAAGGGUACGUAGGCGGCCUAGUAAGUUAGAAGUGAAAGAAUAUAGCUCAACUAUAUAAAGCUUUUAAAACUGUUAGGCUUGAGAGAUGAAAGGGAAAGUGGAAUUCCUAGUGUAGCGGUGAAAUGCGCAGAUAUUAGGAAGAAUACCGGUGGCGAAGGCGACUUUCUGGUCAUCAUCUGACGCUGAGGUACGAAAGCGUGGGUAGCAAACAGGAUUAGAUACCCUGGUAGUCCACGCUGUAAACGAUGAGUGUUAGGUUCUUGGAAUAAUCUGGGAGCCGCAGCUAACGCAUUAAACACUCCGCCUGGGGAGUACGCACGCAAGUGUGAAACUCAAAGGAAUUGACGGGGACCCGCACAAGCAGCGGAGCAUGUGGUUUAAUUCGAUGCAACGCGAAGAACCUUACCAAGUCUUGACAUAAUACGGAGGGAAUUAGAGAUAAUUUCUUACCACUUCGGUGGGCUGUAUUACAGGUGGUGCAUGGUUGUCGUCAGCUCGUGUCGUGAGAUGUUGGGUUAAGUCCC